rnacentral:rRNA from 1 species
UGGGGAAUAUUGCACAAUGGGCGCAAGCCUGAUGCAGCGACGCCGCGUGAGGGAUGGAGGCCUUCGGGUUGUAAACCUCUUUCGCCAGUGAAGCAGGCCAUCUUCUUUGUGGGGUGGUUGACGGUAGCUGGAUAAGAAGCGCCGGCUAACUACGUGCCAGCAGCCGCGGUAAUACGUAGGGCGCGAGCGUUGUCCGGAAUUAUUGGGCGUAAAGAGCUCGUAGGCGGCUGGUCGCGUCUGUCGUGAAAUCCCCGGCUUAACUGGGGGCUUGCGGUGGGUACGGGCCGGCUUGAGUGCGGUAGGGGAGACUGGAAUUCCUGGUGUAGCGGUGGAAUGCGCAGAUAUCAGGAGGAACACCGGUGGCGAAGGCGGGUCUCUGGGCCGUUACUGACGCUGAGGAGCGAAAGCGUGGGGAGCGAACAGG